AGAGUUUGAUCCUGGCUCAGGAUGAACGCUAGCGACAGGCCUAACACAUGCAAGUCGAGGGGCAGCGGGGAGGUAGCAAUACCUUUGCCGGCGACCGGCGCACGGGUGAGUAACACGUAUGCAAUCCACCUGUAACAGGGGGAUAACCCGGAGAAAUCCGGACUAAUACCCCAUAAUAUGGGCGCUCCGCAUGGAGAGUUCAUUAAAGAGAGCAAUUUUGGUUACAGACGAGCAUGCGCUCCAUUAGCCAGUUGGCGGGGUAACGGCCCACCAAAGCGACGAUGGAUAGGGGUUCUGAGAGGAAGGUCCCCCACAUUGGAACUGAGACACGGUCCAAACUCCUACGGGAGGCAGCAGUGAGGAAUAUUGGUCAAUGGUCGGCAGACUGAACCAGCCAAGUCGCGUGAGGGAAGACGGCCCUACGGGUUGUAAACCUCUUUUGUCGGAGAGUAAAGUACGCUACGUGUAGCGUAUUGCAAGUAUCCGAAGAAAAAGCAUCGGCUAACUCCGUGCCAGCAGCCGCGGUAAUACGGAGGAUGCGAGCGUUAUCCGGAUUUAUUGGGUUUAAAGGGUGCGUAGGCGGCACGCCAAGUCAGCGGUGAAAUUUCCGGGCUCAACCCGGAGUGUGCCGUUGAAACUGGCGAGCUAGAGUGCACAAGAGGCAGGCGGAAUGCGUGGUGUAGCGGUGAAAUGCAUAGAUAUCACGCAGAACCCCGAUUGCGAAGGCAGCCUGCUAGGGUGAAACAGACGCUGAGGCACGAAAGCGUGGGUAUCGAACAGGAUUAGAUACCCUGGUAGUCCACGCAGUAAACGAUGAAUACUAACUGUUUGCGAUACAAUGUAAGCGGUACAGCGAAAGCGUUAAGUAUUCCACCUGGGGAGUACGCCGGCAACGGUGAAACUCAA
rnacentral:rRNA from 1 species